rnacentral:siRNA from 1 species
AUACGAGUAUAUGCCGACUAACAU